GUAGUACUCCCUCUAUCCCAAAAUGUAUAAGAUUUGGGUGGAUGUGACACAUCCUAGUACUACAAAUUUGGACAAGCUAGAAUGUGUCGCAUCCACUCAGAAUCCCUUAUAUUUUGGGACGGAGGGAAUAUCAUUUAACCAUUUGAAAAG
rnacentral:misc_RNA from 1 species